CCGCCCGACUGUUUAGGUUGUUGACUGCAUCAAAAAAGUCCAACUUUCUUGCAUUCCGUUUCUUUAAUUUUCCUUCUCCAUUUCCCCUCGCUGUCAUCGGCCGUCAAAAACCCUAAACCUAAUCCAUUCCUUCGCAUCGUCUCCCAGAAGACGUAGAUGAGAUCCUUUCUUCCAAAUGCUACCGGAAAUUUGAGAAAUUUUUGAUCUUGAUCUAGCCGAGAUGGAGCUUCCUCACGUGAAGCUGGAGCUGAGUGGGGCAGAAAUCUCUGGGAAUCUCGACGAGCGAAAUCCUCCAAUUUGUCUCCCGAAUCAGCCCUCCGAUGCCUCUCUGCUCGCACUCGACAUCGGAGGAACUUUGAUCAAAUUAGUUUAUUUUUCGGGCGGCAAUGAGGGUAAUGAGCAGAUUGGAAGCGGUAAUGCAACUCUUGGUGGGGAGUUACGUUUUGUGAAGUUUGAAAGGAGGCGUCUUGGUGAUUGUUUGGAGUUCAUUAAAUCCAAGAAGCUUAUCCAUGACAGCGGAAUUAUUACUGGUUUAUCUAAUGGGCAUGUGGCAAUAAAGGCCACAGGUGGAGGGGCAUAUAAAUUUGCUGAUGUGUUUAAAGAAAAGCUAGGUGUUUCUCUUGAUAAGCUGGAUGAAAUGGAUAGUGUUGUAGCUGGAGCAAACUUUUUGUUGAAGAAAAUCCCUGGUGAAUCCUUUACACACAUGGAUGGAAAAAGGACUCCCAUAGAAAUUAAUCAAAAGAACUUAUUUCCGUAUCUUCUUGUCAAUAUUGGUUCAGGCGUCGGCAUAAUAAAGGUUACUGGAAACAAGAUAUUUGAACGGGUGACUGGGACACAUAUUGGUGGUGGCACAAUAUUUGGUCUAGCAAAACUUUUAACAGGUUGCACGAGUUAUGAUGACUUCUUGAAAUUGAGUCAGCAAGGGGAUAAUCUUGUGCUCGAUUUAAUUGUGAAAGAUAUUUGCGGAGAAUUAGCUUGCCAAAAGCAAGGGCUUUCAGCAUCAACCCUUGCCUCUAGCUUUGGAAAGGUGAUAGAUUCUAAAAGGAAGCUGUCAGAUUACAGAGCUGAGGAUCUUGCUACUACAUUGUUGAGUGCUUUUACUUAUAACAUUGCACAAAUCUCUUUCCUUGUAGCAGCACUCUUAGGGCUCAAAAGGGUCUUUUUUGGAGGAUCAUACAUUCGUGGCCAUGCUAGUACAAUGGACAACAUUUCUUAUGCAAUUGAUUAUUGGUCCAAAGGCCAAAUGCAAGCAAUUUUUUUGCGCCAUGAGGGGUUUUUAGGAGCUCUAGGUGCUUUAAUGAGCUAUGAAAAUCUUGAUGUGGAUGACUUGACACUUGAAGAUGUAAAAGAGCAAGUGAAGCUGGAAAAUUGCCAUGAAAGUUCUAAAAUUCCUGAUGGAAUGUUGAUAACUGAACAUAGCGAAAGCAACAUAUUUCCAUAUCUUCUUGUCAAUAUUGGCUCAGGUGUUAGUAUGGUUGAGGUGAUUGGCAAGGGGAAGUUUGAGCGUAUCAUUGGGACACAUCUAGGUGGUGGUACUAUUCUUGGUCUUGCAAGGCUGUUAACAGGGUGUACAAGUUAUGAAGAGUUCCUACAGUUGAGCCAGCAAGGAAAUAAUCUAUCUGUGGACUUGACUGUGGGGGAUAUAUAUGGGGAACUAGGUUAUCCAAAGCAUGGUCUUCCAGCAUCUACAACUGCUUCCAGCUUUGGAAAGGUAAGUUCAAACAAGCUUUCAGACUACAAAGCAGAGGAUCUUGCUGCAGCUCUCUUGAAUGCUUUCACGUACAAUAUUGGACAAAUCUCCUACUUUGUUGCAAAUCUUUCAGGGCUGAAGAAAAUCUUUUUUCGAGGAGCUUACAUAUGUGGUCAUGCAAAAACAAUUGACAAGAUUUCUCGUUCGCUUAAGUAUUGGUCAAAAGGCCAAGUACAAACAACAUUUUUAUGCCAUGAAGGAUUUUUAGAAGCUGUAGGGGCAUUUUGGAGUUACGAGAACAUGGGUAUUGAUGAUCUAGCUGCACAGGAGGUCAUGAAACAAGUCUUGCUAGGUGCCCCUUAUACAGGGAAAGCUUCUUUACCAUUAAGGCAGUUAUAUGAAAGCAAUGAUGAGAACUCCAAAGUGGAAAUUGAGAGGUUGCGACAUGACAAUGCAGAGCUCAAGCAUGAAGUAGAAAGAUUGCGACUUGAAAACGAAGAGCUUAAGGCUAAGCUAGAGAAGUUGAGAGAUGAUCAUGAAGGUUAGACAGCAGGUGAUAUCUGCCAAACACACUGCAUCAAUUUGGGCUUCAACUGGAACAAAAUCCUAUGCAACGCUUGGUAUCCAAGGCUUCUGCACUGCCACCAUCACUAGAUAUCAAUAAAGGUGGAAUGAAAAUUUUGGCUGAAAAGAUCGUUCUAUGCUUUUGUAUUAAUGUUGCGAUAAUGAGGAUGAUAUUAUAUUGUAAGAUUAUUUAAAAAUGUAAUAAAUUCAGGUAGGUAGACAUAAUUCGAACAUGAAAUGGGAUGCUGAAUAUUCUUCUUUUCGUUCUUUUUUUUUCUAAUAGAAUAGUCCAGCUAUAUUUUUAUGCUUGCC